UAAACGAUGGUUCAAGCUCGUUUGUCACGUAAGUUUAAACUAGAAAUAUAAUGUAACAAAAUCAUUUCUUUUAAUCUAUUACCGAAAUUCUCACGUCGCUUAGUCGAGUAGGCUGACCGAGUUGACCGAGUCAACGGAGUUGACUCGGUUUGACCGUGUUGACCGAGUUAACUCGGUUUGACCGAGUCAACUGAACCGCUUCAUAAUCUGACACCGAAACCAAGACCCGUUGUUGACCGAACCGAACCCGAUCUGAGCUGAGACCCAAAUCUGCUGUACAACCAUCUGAACCUGGCUCACUUUAACCUGAAGCACGACUUGAACCACUGUUGAGAGUUGACUUGAAAAACCCGAAAACUAAUCUGAAGUGCACCUACACCCGAACCGAACCAAGCCGAGCCCGAAAUAACACCAACACCACCCUCUUCAUCAGCUCAACCUUAACACUACCGUCAUUUUCUUCACCGGAGCAACGACCGGAAACAGAAAACAUCACCGGAACCCCAAAAAUCAGAAAUGUGCAAACCAUAAAACUACCAGAACUUAGUGAAUCGGAACUUACCGGGCCAAUCGGAUAUGAAAACGUGUCGCCUGAGAGUCGUCACCGCCACGACGGUUCUGCUGUUGUCGUCGUCGGCUCCACCGCCGCCGCCGUGAGCGGCGGUGCCGCUCCUAUCUCCGGCGCUCUCUCUCUCUCUCUGUCUCGUCUCUCUUUCUCUCUCGUCUUUGUCUCUGAUUUGCGCGAAGGUGGGUGGUGUGGUGGGUGAUUAACGAAGAGGGGGGGGGGUGUGCGACGGCCGGCACCGGUGACCGGCUCCUGGUCGCCGGCGAUUGAACAGAGAGAAGAGAAAGGGGGUGUCUGGUUGUGGUUUUGAAAUCGAAGAAGAAGGGGAAGGAGGAAGGGGAGUCUGAUGGUAUGGUAUAUGUCUCAACUUUUGAGACAAGAUCCGGUAAGGAUGUUGUAG
rnacentral:lncRNA from 1 species